GGUAUGGGAUGAGCUUGCGUCCGAUUAGCUAGUUGGCGGGGCAACGGCCCACCAAGGCGACGAUCGGUAGCCGGCCUGAGAGGGCGAUCGGCCACAUUGGGACUGAGAUACGGCCCAGACUCCUACGGGAGGCAGCAGUAGGGAAUAUUGCACAAUGGGGGAAACCCUGAUGCAGCAACGCCACGUGUGGGAAGAAGCAUUUCGGUGUGUAAACCACUGUCGUGAGGGAAUAAGGCAUUGUUUCGGCGAUGUUGAAUGUACCUCGAAAGGAAGCACCGGCAAACUUCGUGCCGGCAGCCGCGGUAAUACGAGGGGUGCAAGCGUUGUUCGGAAUCACUGGGCGUAAAGGGAGCGUAGGCGGAGAUGCAAGCAGUCUGUACAAUACCGGGGCCCAACCCCGGACCUGCAGACUGGACUGUGUCUCUUGGAUAGUUCAGGGGCAGGC
rnacentral:rRNA from 1 species